GCACUGCUGACGAGUCCCAAACAGGAAGAAACAGCUGUACAGUGC
rnacentral:hammerhead_ribozyme from 1 species